AGGGAUGUCACAAUUUCCUGAGACGGAGGCAUCUCUGCACCACAUAGGAGGCUGCGGUACUAUGCAGCUUGAACAGCACGACAAAGCAUCUGAUCUGCCUGCUUUGACAAGUGUUGCUGGGCCUGCAGAAAGAGUAAGCAGACUACUGUGUUGCUGAUCAGUGCUGAUCUCCACGUCCGAGCUGGUCCCACAACAUCCAGGCACCACUGUGCUUUGCUUCAUUGACAAGGUGUGGCUGGGCCUGCAGAAAAGCUGUAAGCAGACUGCAGUGUUGCUGAUCAGUGCUGAUCUCCACGUCCGAGCUGGUCCCACAACAUCCAGGCACCACUG